CAAGUCGAGUGCGCAGUCUGCUGUAGCAAUACAGCAGAUCGGCGCACGGCGCACGGGUGCGUAACACGUGGGUAACCUGCCCUCCAAAGGGGGAUAACCCGCCGAAAGGCGGGCUAAUACCGCAUGACAUUCCGGUGGCUUCGGCCGCUGGAAUCAAAGCCCGCAAGGGCGUUGGAGGAGGGGCCCGCGGCCGAUUAGCUUGUUGGCGAGGUAACGGCUCACCAAGGCUUUGAUCGGUAGCCGGUCUGAGAGGAUGGCCGGCCACACUGGAACUGAGACACGGUCCAGACUCCUACGGGAGGCAGCAGUGGGGAAUCUUGCGCAAUGGGCGAAAGCCUGACGCAGCGACGCCGCGUGGGGGAUGAAGCUUCUCGGAGUGUAAACCCCUUUCGACCCGGACGAAACACCCGCAAGGGUUUGACGGUACGGGUAUAAGAAGCCCCGGCUAACUACGUGCCAGCAGCCGCGGUAAGACGUAGGGGGCCAGCGUUGCUCGGAAUUACUGGGCGUAAAGGGUUCGUAGGCGGUGUGGUAAGUCGGAAGUGAAAUCUCUGGGCUUAACUCAGAGGCCGCUUUCGAAACUGCCGCGCUAGAGUGCGGGAGAGGCGAGUGGAAUUACAGGUGUAGCGGUGAAAUGCGUAGAUAUCUGUAGGAACACCCGUGGCGAAGGCGGCUCGCUGGACCGCAACUGACGCUGAGGAACGAAAGCUAGGGGAGCAAACAGGAUUAGAUACCCUGGUAGUCCUAGCCCUAAACCAUCAGGACUUGGGGUGGCCCGCGUUGGCGGGUCGUCCCGGAGCUAACGCGUUAAGUCCUGCGCCUGGGGAGUACGGUCGCAAGGCUGAAACUCAA
rnacentral:rRNA from 1 species